rnacentral:rRNA from 1 species
GACGAACGCUGGCGGCGUGCUUAACACAUGCAAGUCGAACGGAAAGGCCCUGCUUUUGUGGGGUGCUCGAGUGGCGAACGGGUGAGUAACACGUGAGUAACCUGCCCUUGACUUUGGGAUAACUUCAGGAAACUGGGGCUAAUACCGGAUAGGAGCUCCUGCUGCAUGGUGGGGGCUGGAAAGUUUCGGCGGUUGGGGAUGGACUCGCGGCUUAUCAGCUUGUUGGUGGGGUAGUGGCUUACCAAGGCUUUGACGGGUAGCCGGCCUGAGAGGGUGACCGGCCACAUUGGGACUGAGAUACGGCCCAGACUCCUACGGGAGGCAGCAGUGGGGAAUAUUGCACAAUGGGCGGAAGUCUGAUGCAGCAACGCCGCGUGCGGGAUGACGGCCUUCGGGUUGUAAACCGCUUUCGCCUGUGACGAAGCGUGAGUGACGGUAAUGGGUAAAGAAGCACCGGCUAACUACGUG